GACAGAGGGUGCAAACGUUGUUCGGAAUUACUGGGCGUAAAGCGCGUGUAGGCUGCUUGGAAAGUCGGAUGUGAAAGCCCUGGGCUCAACUUAGGAAGUGCAUUCGAAACUUCCAAGCUCGAGUUUCGGAGAGGAAGGCGGAAUUCUCGGUGUAGAGGUGAAAUUCGUAGAUAUUCGGAAGAACACCAGUGGCGAAGGCGGCUCACUGGCCCGGUACUGACGCUGAGGUGCGAAAGCGUGGGGAGCAAACAGG
rnacentral:rRNA from 1 species